rnacentral:rRNA from 1 species
GUACACUCCUACGGGAGGCAGCAGUGGGGAAUUUUGGACAAUGGGCGAAAGCCUGAUCCAGCAAUGCCGCGUGCAGGAUGAAGGCCUUCGGGUUGUAAACUGCUUUUGUACGGAACGAAAAAGCUCCUUCUAAUACAGGGGGCCCAUGACGGUACCGUAAGAAUAAGCACCGGCUAACUACGUGCCAGCAGCCGCGGUAAUACGUAGGGUGCGAGCGUUAAUCGGAAUUACUGGGCGUAAAGCGUGCGCAGGCGGUUAUGUAAGACAGAUGUGAAAUCCCCGGGCUCAACCUGGGAACUGCAUUUGUGACUGCAUGGCUAGAGUACGGUAGAGGGGGAUGGAAUUCCGCGUGUAGCAGUGAAAUGCGUAGAUAUGCGGAGGAACACCGAUGGCGAAGGCAAUCCCCUGGACCUGUACUGACGCUCAUGCACGAAAGCGUGGGGAGCAAACAGGAUUAGAAACCCUGGUAGUCCC